rnacentral:rRNA from 1 species
AUGAAUAAAACCAUUUGGAAGGUUUUGGCUCCCCCCAAAAUCAAGUUCUUUGCUUGGCUAGCAAUUCAAAAUCGUGUUUGGACCGCCGACCGCUUGGCCAAGCGAGGUUGGGACAAUUGCGGACUUUGCCCACUGUGCAAGAGGGAGCAAGAAUCUGUGGCUCACCUCUUCUAUAAGUGCUGAUACACGUUGAGGCUCUGGGAAAUGCUGAAAGUAUGGCUACGAUUGGAUACCAUGGAUAUUACUACUUGGCCGGGGAACUCGAUCAAGGAUUGGUGGACAAGGAUGUCUAGCGCAACGAGGGUACAUAGAAAAGCUAUGGCCUCCCUCACAAUGCUUGUUAGCUGGACUAUAUAGAAUGAGAGGAACGCGAGAAUUUUCCGCAACAAGUUCAAGCCACCCAACAUCCUAUUUAUGAACAUAAAGAGCGAGGCUAAACUUUGGAUCACCGGCGGGGCAAAAAAUCUGGGUCUUUUGAUGCCGGGAGAGUAA